AGGACCUGGGCUGACACACUGAUUAACAGGGGAACAGAUGAGGACUGGGUUCAGAGGCCUACUGUACAUUUGAGUACUCACUGCAGGUUACCACUGAGCCAUCGGACGAGGAUGCUGACCCAUAAUGAUCCUAAAAUCCUCUGGGUACUGAUCUACCUGUACCUGGUCAGAGCCGUUGCUGGGGCUGGCAGGAACCAAAUCUGCCUCUUGGAUACUGAGAACUAAGGCUUUGUAGAACAUCUUUUUCUCUUUUAAAUUGCAGGUGUCCUAGCUCACUUACUUAUGGUUUAUGAAACUAGCCAAUUCUACUUGAAGGCCAGCCUGAACGAGCAACAGCAAGCCGACUCAGAUGAUAGCAUCAGCUCAUCCAGCUCUUUGGUCAAAACCAUUGCUCUCAAUAUCACCAUUGCCCUUGCCAAUAAUCAUAAUAAGAGCUAACAUUUAUCGAGCACUUAAUUUGUGCCAGGCAGCCUGCCAAACACCAUGCAUGGAUUAUCUUAUUUGAUUCUCAUAACUACUCUGUAAGGUAGGCCCCAUUUUUUUCCCCAGAGAAGUUAAGUAUUUGCUGAAGGCCACAUGACUAAUAAACGGCAAAAUUUAAAAUCAGGUCAAUCUCAUUUCACAGCCUGUGCUCUUAACUACUAGAAUGAGCACAGCUGUCAGUGAUACAUCCGGGUGAGGACCUCAGACUUGACUCCCUCUGCCUGAUUGCUCGUGUUUCUUUUGCUGCCUUUAAGGACCUGCCUCUCUGAUGAAAAUGGACUUCCUAACUCUGUGAUACCGUGGAAUCUUAGAGAGGAUGUCACUGCACCCUGCCCACCAAUUUGAUGUGGUAUAGCAAGCCCAGGGGUGGCUGCUAGGAAUUCUGAACCAACGCAAAAUGGAGAAGCCACCCUUCUCGAUGUCAACAAGGAAGUCAAUGUCAAUGGAUUCUGAGAAGUGAUGUCCAACUCUGGAGUGAAAGUGGCCUCAGGAUCAAGAAUUAUUGUAGAACUAUCAAUGUCAGUCUGUCCAGUUACCAGUGGGAGAAAUUUCAAAACUCCAUGCCAGCUCUCCAUUCCCCGUGAGCACAUAACUCCAUGGUCGUGCAGAGCACAAGCCUACUGAACGCCCAGACUUUGAAAACAACUCCUACUCAGCUCUACACACUAUCACAGGACUCAGGAGGUAGAGAAGUUGCCUGGACAAAAUAAUCACAGCCUUUAAUUUUUCAAACACCCAAAAAUGGACUUCGGUGAAUCUGGUAACUGGCUCUUUAAGGAAAAUAAAAUGACAAUGAUGAUAUCUACGACAAUAAAACCCAAAUAAUAUAUUCCCUUUCCAAACACAAGUGUUUCAAAAUAAAAAACAGAUGAAAGUUUCUGAUAGGCCCCCAAAAAAUUACUCACUUUUCUUCAAGUCUUUAAUUACUAGUGAGAUUAUCUUUUCAUGUAUGAACCGGACAUUUAUAUAUCUUCUUUUCUAAAUUGCUAUUUUUGUUGUUUCCCCGCUUUCUAAUGGGAUAUUCAUUUGUUAUUUGUUUGUUAGAGCUCUUUUUAUAUUAUAUCUAAUAACCCUUUAUUAUAUGUGAUGGUGAUUUUUGUCCUCAGUUUGACAUUUAUCUUGACUAUGGUGUUCUUACUAUAUGUAAAUAUUUUUUAUUAUUAUGUAUUCACAUGUAUCAAUCUUUUAUAGCAUCUGCCUUUUAUGUCAUCUUUGGAAAAGCAUUCUUCAAUACAAGAUUAUAAAAAUACUCACCUAUAGUUCCUCAAGUAUUUUUAGGGUUGGUUUUUCUUUUUUUUUUUUAAUGUUUAAACCUUUAAAUUAUGUGGAAUUUAUUUUGCUUUAAGGCAUCGGAUAGGAUUAAACUUAAUUUUUCCCCUGACUAUCCAUUUGUUCCAGUAUCAUUUAUUGAAAAAUUCUUCUUUUUCCUCCACCUUCAUCUUAUACAUUCUCUAUGUGCCAAUGAAAAGGAAAAGGUUACUUAUUUUAAUUUUAUUGGGAAUGAAUACCAG
ensembl:lncRNA